CCAAUAGCGUAUAUUAAAGUUGUUGCAGUUAAAAAGCUCGUAGUUGAAUUUCGGGAUCAGUAGGUUGGUCGUGCCAACGGUAUGCACUGGCCUCACUGGUUCCUCCUUCUUGUAGAACCGUAAUGCCAUUACGUUGGUGUUGCGGGGAAACAGGACUGUUACUUUGAAAAAAUUAGAGUGUUUAAAGCAGGCUAACGCUUGAAUACAUUAGCAUGGAAUAAUGAAAUAGGACGAACGAUCCUAUUUUGUUGGUUUCUAGGAUCGACGUAAUGAUUAAUAGGGAUAGUUGGGGGCAUUAGUAUUCAAUUGUCAGAGGUGAAAUUCUUGGAUUUAUUGAAGACUAACUACUGCGAAAGCAUUUGCCAAGGAUGUUUUCAUUAAUCAAGAACGAAAGUUAGGGGAUCGAAGACGAUCAGAUACCGUCGUAGUCUUAACCAUAAACUAUGCCGACUAGGGAUCGGAUGAUGUUAAUUUUAUAAUGACUCAUUCGGCGCCUUACG
rnacentral:rRNA from 1 species